GUGUUUGUUUUUCUCCCUCAAAGGCUUCCAACAACAGGAGGGUACAAUUCCAUUGUGGUUAUAACCCAUAGUUGAGGUGUUUUUGCUCUCUCUGCUGUCGGAAGCCUUCGAGGGAGAUGAAAGAAUU
rnacentral:pre_miRNA from 1 species